GACGAAGGGGGCUAGCGUUGUUCGGAAUUACUGGGCGUAAAGCGAGUGUAGGUGGUUGUCCAAGUUGGAUGUGAAAGCCUUGAGCUCAACUCAAGAAAUGCAUUCAGGACUGGGCGGCUAGAGGACAGGAGAGGAUAGUGGAAUUCCCAGUGUAGUGGUGAAAUACGUAGAGAUUGGGAAGAACACCAGUGGCGAAGGCGGCUAUCUGGACGGUUUCUGACACUAAGACUCGAAAGCGUGGGGAGCAAACAGG
rnacentral:rRNA from 1 species